UCUGCAACUCGACUCCAUGAAGCUGGAUUCGCUAGUAAUCGCGCAUCAGCCAUGGCGCGGUGAAUACGUUCCCGGGCCUUGUACACACCGCCCGUCAAGCCAUGGAAGCCGGGAGUGCCUGAAGUGUGCAACCGCAAGGAGCGCCCUAAGGUAAAACUGGUGACUGGGGCUAAGUCGUAACAAGGUAGC
rnacentral:rRNA from 1 species